AACCAUAGAAACCUGCGGAGUACCUGCGGAGGGAUCAUCAUUGAAUAUUAUGAAUUUCAAGCUUUGAUGAGCGGAAGGGUUUGUCUCUUUCGCUCUUUAAGGCUUGCAAACAACUUUGAUACCCAAAAAGAUUUUUUCUUUCCUGCUUGUCUUUUGGUCUUUUUGCAGCUCCAGCUUUUAUUUAUUUGGGUUGGUUGCUGUGGGAGGCGAGAGAGAGAAGCGGAAAGAGGGGGAAACCCC
rnacentral:misc_RNA from 1 species